rnacentral:rRNA from 1 species
GACGAACGCUGGCGGCGCGCCUAACACAUGCAAGUCGAACGGAGCUGAGAGGAGCUUGCUUUUCUUAGCUUAGUGGCGAACGGGUGAGUAACGCGUGAGUAACCUGCCCUGGAGUGGGGGACAACAGUUGGAAACGACUGCUAAUACCGCAUAAGCCCACGGAUCCGCAUGGAUCUGCGGGAAAAGGAUUUAUUCGCUUCAGGAUGGACUCGCGUCCAAUUAGCUAGUUGGUGAGGUAACGGCCCACCAACGGCGACGAUUGGUAGCCGGACUGAGAGGUUGAACGGCCACAUUGGGACUGAGACACGGCCCAGACCCCUACGGGAGGCAGCAGUGGGGGAUAUUGCACAAUGGGGGAAACCCUGAUGCAGCGACGCCGCGUGGAGGAAGAAGGUUUUCGGAUUGUAAACUCCUGUCGUUAGGGACGAUAAUGACGGUACCUAACAAGAAAGCACCGGC